CAUGGCUCAGGAUGAACGCUGACAGAAUGCUUAACACAUGCAAGUCAUUGGCGAAGCUGCGCUUGCGCAGUCUAGCCAAGGCGGACGGGUGAGUAACGCGUAAGGAACUUGCCCUGCAGACAGGGAUAACAGACGGAAACGACUGAUAACACCUGGUAUUGUCAGGCUGGCGCAUGCCGGCCUGAUGAAAGGAGACGCUGCAGGAGAGCCUUGCGUCCUAUUAGCUAGUUGGUGGGGUAACGGCCCACCAAGGCGAUGAUAGGUAGCCGGCCUGAGAGGGUGAACGGCCACAAGGGGACUGAGAUACGGCCCUUACUCCUACGG
rnacentral:rRNA from 1 species